rnacentral:rRNA from 1 species
GAUGAACGCUGGCGGCGUGCCUAAUACAUGCAAGUCGAGCGAACAGACGAGGAGCUUGCUCCUCUGACGUUAGCGGCGGACGGGUGAGUAACACGUGGAUAACCUACCUAUAAGACUGGGAUAACUUCGGGAAACCGGAGCUAAUACCGGAUAAUAUAUUGAACCGCAUGGUUCAAUAGUGAAAGACGGUUUUGCUGUCACUUAUAGAUGGAUCCGCGCCGCAUUAGCUAGUUGGUAAGGUAACGGCUUACCAAGGCAACGAUGCGUAGCCGACCUGGGAGGGUGAUCGGCCACACUGGAACUGAGACACGGUCCGGACUCCUACGGGAGGCAGCAGUAGGGAAUCUUCCGCAAUGGGCGAAAGCCUGACGGAGCAACGCCGCGUGAGUGAUGAAGGUCUUCGGAUCGUAAAACUCUGUUAUUAGGGAAGAACAAAUGUGUAAGUAACUAUGCACGUCUUGACGGUACCUAAUCAGAAAGCCACGGCUAACUACGUG